UACGGGGGGAGCAAGCGUUGUUCGGAUUUACUGGGCGUAAAGGGCGCGUAGGCGGUCAGCACAAGUCAGUUGUGAAAUCUCCGGGCUUAACUCGGAAAGGUCAACUGAUACUGUGCGACUAGAGUGCAGAAGGGGCAACUGGAAUUCCCGGUGUAGCGGUGAAAUGCGCAGAUAUCGGGAGGAACACCGGUGGCGAAGGCGGUUCUCUGGGCCUUACCUGACGCUGAGGAGCGAAAGCGUGGGGAGCGAACAGG
rnacentral:rRNA from 1 species